GACAACACUGCAGCAGGCCACAGUUACCCUUCUCCUGUCAACUCUGCUUUAAUGAAACUCAUACAUUAAGUUUGAUGAUGGUGCUGUUGUAUAAGAACAAUGAAGAGGAGGAAAAGAUGAAGAACUACUUUUCCUAUCAAAGCCUUGGAACAAAGUGAAUACUUAUGUAAUGGCCCUAAUGCUGUAUACAAUGUUCUACAAAUUAUAACCACAAAUUCUAUGCUCACUCUUAUUGUGUCCAGCCCACUCUACUUCCCGGACCUGAUUUUGGAGUUGUGAGUUGACACCUUGGGAACAACACUGAACCUCACUCACUCCUCGGCAAACCUCGGCGGCUGCAUUACAUCAUUCUGAACACGGUCUCAUCACUGGCCCUGAAAAUCUGAUCUAAUGAAGCUUCAAGUACAGAGAAGAGGAGGAAGAAGGGGGAGGAAGAGGAGGAGAAGGAGGAGGAGCUAAGAAAAUAUAAUGUUAUUAAUUAACAGAGUGGCCCGCACAAAUAAUCUUUAAAAGUGUAUAUGUGGUGUACAUAUGCAUAAGCAUCCACCUGUGUCUGCAUUGGUAUAUGUCCAUGUGCAUGUAUGUGUUCAUGUGCACGUGAGGCUAGAGGUCAAUGCUAAGUGUAUUCCUCUGUUGCACUCCACCUUGCUUUGUGAGAUGGGGUAGCUCAAUAAACCUAGAGUCUUCAAUUUGGGCUUGUCAGC
rnacentral:lncRNA from 1 species